UACGUAGGCAGCGAGCGUUGUUCGGAAUUACUGGGCGUAAAGAGUGUGUAGGCGGUGCUCUAAGUUCGGUGUGAAAUCUCCCGGCUCAACUGGGAGGGUGCGCCGGAAACUGCCGGACUAGAGUGCGGGAGAGGAGAGUGGAAUUCCUGGUGUAGCGGUGAAAUGCGCAGAUAUCAGGAGGAACACCACUGGCGAAGGCAGCUCGCUGGGACGGUACUGACGCUGAGACGCGAAAGCGUGGGGAGCAAACAGG
rnacentral:rRNA from 1 species